CUCCUCGUUAUCUGAACACUGGAACCACCAUGAUGUUUCUGUGCUCUCUGGCUGUCUUUAUGAUCAUGAUAGGGAACUGUGUUUCACAGUCAAUAGCACCACUGAAAAACACAAUCCAUGCUGUUGAAGAUCAGACACUUACUCUCUCCUGCAAGUAUAAUGGUAGUGUGAAUAAUCUGCAGUGGUAUCGUCAGUAUCCUGGAUCCAGACCAGUGUAUUUACUGAUGACAUUUCCAGGAUCACCAACUGUGAGCCAUGCAACUCCACGUUUUCCAAGACUGGAUGCUAAAGAAAAGAACAAAACACUGGAUCUGAUCAUCUCCUCUGCUGAAGUAUCAGACUCUGCACUCUACUACUGUGCCAUGAAGCCCACAGUGACAGGAAACCCAGAGAGCUGUGUUUCACAGUCAACAGCACCACUGGACAGCAAAGUCCUGGUUCAGAUGAGACAGUUACUCUCUCCUGCAAGUAUGAAUCUAGAGGUACUCCAAGUAUUCUGCAGUGGUAUCGUCAGUAUCCUGGAACCAGACCAGAGAAUUUACUGAUGAUAUAUCCAGGAUCAAAUCUGGUGAGCUUUGCAACUCCACCUUUUCCAUGACUGA